GUAUCAUACACAGUUGGAAAAUAUUUAAUAGUGAAACUACAAGAGUUAAAAGAGUAAUAUGUCAUAAUGGAUUUUUUCAUUAUUGUUACAAAAGGAAAAAUGACCAUGUACAAUAUUAAUUUAAUAAGAGUUCAAUGAUUGCAUGAUCGAUUGCUCUUGACUAGAAAAGAGUUGUGUUGUGCACACGCACGGUGAUGACGUUGUUCUUUUUGCUGUGGAAUAAAGCGGAAUGGAGUGAAGACGU